rnacentral:lncRNA from 1 species
UUGUUUUUUUUUUUCUUUUGCCUCCCCUGACCAGUCAUGUAUUUGAAAAUAGGCAUGCUGGCAAUGUGGUCGUUUUUUUCCUUUCGAAAAUCAUUUUAGGUCNAAAAAAAAAAAAAAAAAAAAAAAAAAAAAAAAAAGAAGAAGAAGGCGAAAUCCAUUAGCACCUUCCUGAAACUGUUCCACCAAAUCUUAGGAUGGGUUUCAGAAGUGGAAGAAAAAUACGUGGGACUUGAACGUGUUGUACAGAGACAGUCACGAUGCCUUUGAACUAUUUGAACUAUUUCUCCAUGCUUUUCAGUGCUCAGAGGCCAUCAUGUUUGAUGUUCAUUCUAAUCCCAUCAAAGCAACACGGCGAGAAUAUCAUCACUCAGAUUUCAAGGAAAAACAUACUUGUACCUCCCAGCUACUUCUCCUUUUUGAUUUUCAGCUUUGAGAAGAAGUUAUUUUGAAAAUUGUAAGCAUUCCCUAGAACCAACCGUGUUAAAGUAGAUCCAGAUCAUCUUUUUUUAAUGAGAACGAUAAAGCAUGAUACCGGGAAGAGAAUGAACAAACUCUCCUUUCCAAGGAGCUGGGUGACCCUCACAAAGGACAGUAGAGUUAAAGGAACCAGACACAGGGCACAGCUGGCAUAAAGCUCAGCAGCAGGAGGAUCUAAUCUAUGGGAUUAGGGUACCGUUGUCAUCGGGCCGAGGGACAGGGAAGGGCACGAAGGUCCCUCUGGGUUCUUAUUCCCUUAUGUUCUGUUUCUUCAUCUAGGGGCUGGUUGCACAGGUGCGUUAUUUUGGCGAGAAUUAAUUGGGCUGAUAACACUUAGGAUCCAGGUACAUCUAUCUGACUGAGUAUAACAUGCUUCAAGGAAAAUGUUAUGGAAGCCAAUCAAUCUGCUGGUCUUUGCCUCAAAAUAGAUGAUGACUUUUAGCCUAAGGGUCUUAGGAAGGCCAACCCACAUUUGAUCAGAGAAACUUAGCUUAGAAUUAUAAACACACUGAAAGGUUUGUGUGGACGUUAAGAUCGGCCCUUCGUUAGCCGUGGCACACCUGAUCCCUAAGCUCUCUGCUAGGCAGUCAUCUGAGGAAGCCACUUGCUCCAAAUUCCAGGAAGUCGAAGCAUCUCACCGCAUUUUUAAAUGCUGGGUGUCAAAAGCACUUUAGAUGUGUUGAAGUCAAGGAUAUUUUGCAUAAAACCGAGAGAACUGCAUCUCGGUUGCCUGGAAAUGCUCCUGUCAUACAGGCUUGAUUCCUUUUGAUUUCAGCCGAAGUGAAAUUGCUUUGCAGAUACGGUACUCUCUUAGGGGAGUGAGUCAACUACCUACAGCAAGGGAAGGCCAAAAGCAUCCUGCUAUGUUUUCUGGAAAAUGAUUUCUAAAACCUGCCCAACUCCUGGCAUUAAAUUCACCUCCAAAAGAACUUCUGGGGAUCUAGGGGACACUACUUUUUCAUUAAUUCUGCUCCACCUUCCUUGAAAGAAGGUUAAGCAGAGCUGCCCAAAGAAUGGGAGUUUUGGAGUGCCUGUUGCGGUGUAGGGGAAAUGAAUCUGACUAGGAACCAUUAGGUUGUGGGUUCAAUCCUGGCCUCGAUCAAUGAGUUAAGGAUCCGGCAUUGCCCUGAGCUGUGGCACAGGUCACAGACAGGGCUUGGAUCUGGUGUUGCUGUGACAGUGGUGUAGGUGGGCAACUGUAGCUCCGAUUCGACACCUAGCCUGGGAACUUCCACAUGCCCCAGUUGUGGCCCUGAAAAGCAAAGCAAAAAGAAAAGAAAAGAAAAGAAAAAGAAUGGGAGUUUUGACUUGGCAAGUGACUGAAAACUGGUAUUAGCACAAAUGGUUAUUUAGAGCUAAAAAUCAUUCAGAUUGUCUAUCCUUUCAAUUUUUAAAAGAAUGGCAUUUACGGUUGAUCUUGAAAUAUAGCAUUUAGAACCAUUACGCAGGGUGCACGUUUUAGAAGAUUUGGAAGCACUUUGUGGAGAGCUGGAAGCCCUUAUCACCAUGGACCACUGCACAUUCAGAAAUCUGUCCGUCAUCUGGUUGUUGCUAUAGCAACAGCCUAGUUCCAGCUGGAGAGAAUGGGUCCCUUGCGCUGGCUCACGUGCAACUCUGGGCUUGCUUCUCUCUCACUGUCCAGCUAUAACCACUGUUUCUAGUGGAGGGCAUAACGUAGCAGCAAGAAACGUGGUCCUGGUGGCUAUGAAUGGAGGGCGCAUCCUUUUGGAUGCCUCUCGUUUGUUUGCUUACAAGUUAUCAUGGUGCCUUACCAGGUCGAUGCCUUGCAAUGACCUCAGACGCUUUGGGUUUUGAUCCAGGUUCUAUAUUAAGAAAAGAAGUGUCACCUAAUUUAAACCUAAUUUUCGCCCUUUCUCUGCUGCUGGAAAUCUUGUUUAGCAUCUCCCGGUUGUUAUCAGGCCCCUUCAUGCCCGUGGGGGCUUUCGAUGCUACCAGUGCAAAUUCCUGCUAAGGUUCUCCAGAUGGGUUGGCAGUGGUUUCCAGGCUGGAAGCUUGCUCUGAGCAGUUGGGAAAAGGCCGUCUUUGGCAUGUCUGAUGGCGGCCUGCUGUCCUGCCACAUUUCAACAUGUGGAUUUAAUUGAGUCAGAACACUGCAAGUAUGGCUAUUGAGGGUCCUGUGUGAGAGCUCAGGGUCAUACACUGGAAUCAACCCUGCAGGCAUUGCAAGUUUCUCUUUAGAUCUACAUGGCUUCUUGCCUUUAAAUGUCUUCAGAGAUAUCCAUUAAAGAGCAAAGACAAUAGGAAUGUAUCUUCUUAUGAUGGAUCAAAUGAGUCGUGAUAUUUUUAUCUGCUGUUCAAUUUUCUACAACCGUGGCAUAUUAAUUGAAGAAUAUAAAAUACUUAUACCUUGUUAUUGAAAUCAUCCUAAUUUUCAAACUCUUCAUCUUGAAAUAAUUUUAAAUUUACAAAAACGUUGCCAAACUAGAACAAAGAGUUCUUUUUUUUUUUUUUGCUAUUUCUUGUGCCACUCCAGCGGCAUAUGGAGGUUCCCAGGCUAGGGGUCCAAUCGGAGAUGUAGCCACCGGCCUACACCAGAGCCACAGUAACACGGGAUCCAAGCUGCAUCUGUGACCUACACCACAGCUCAUGGCAACGCCGGAUCGUUAACCCACUGAGCAAGGGCAGGGACCGAACCCACAACCUCAUGGUUCCAAGUCGGAUUCGUUAACCACCGCGCCACGACGGGAACUCCCAGAACAGAGAGUUCUUGACUUCCUUCAUCAAACCUCAUCAGAUGUUAGCAUUUUCUAUAACCACAGUGCAGUUACUAAAAUCGCACUUAUUAACUGGAAUUCCACAGGAAGGAGAAGUUUUCCUCCCCCUCAUUUCUCUAUCCAUCUGUCUAUCAUCUAUCUAUCUAUCAUCUAUUUAUCAUCUAUCUAUCAUCUAUUACCUAUCUAUCACUUAUCAUCUAUCGUCUGUCAUCUGUUAUUUCUCUAUCAUGUAUCUUUCAUCUAUUACCUAUUUAUCUAUCACCUAUCAUCUAUUGUCUAUCUAUUAUCUGUCUAUCUAUCUAUCAUCUACCAUGUAUCAUGUAUCAUCUAUUAUCUAUCUAUCUAUCUGUCAGUCUGUCUGCCUAUAUCAUCUAUCAUUAUGUCAGUAUGGACUCUCAGACAUGUUUCAGACAGUCAAUGGAUUACAAUCCUUUUCUGUAAUGAUUUUCUUGCUCGAGUUGUCUCAUGUGGUCCUUGGGAGCAAUUUCAAGAUGCCUCCUGUGUCCUUUUGCCAUCACAGCGUUAUUCUUUGAGCACUGCUUGCUUGCUAUCUGGGACCUUAAGAGCACGUCUGGUUUGUCAGGGAUGGCAAUGUGGGAAGGUAGCUUUCUGAGCCUUGGAAAAGGCUUGGAUUAGGGAGUUCCUGUUGUGGCUCAGCAGUAAUGAACCCGACUAGCAUCCAUGAGGAUUCGGGUUCGAUCUCUGGCCUUGCUCAGCGGGUUAAGGAUCUGGCAUUGCCGUGAGCUGUGGUGUAGGUUGCAGAUGCAUCUUGGAUCUGGAAUUGCUGUGGCUGUGGUGUAGGCUGGCUGCUGUAGCUCUGAUUCUACGCCUAGUAUGGGAACUUCCAUAUGCUGCAGGUGCGGCCCAAAAAAGACAAAACAAAAAGAAAGAAAAGGCUUGGAUUAGGACCGGCAACACUGGGAGAGGGCCAGGGUGCAAGCCACUGUUUCUGUAUGGGACGCUUAUAUAAUUAAGAACAAAAGUAACUGUGCAAAAUAAAAAAUUUUUUAAAAAUUUAAAAACAUUCAAAGUUCAUCUUGACCUUUCUCUGCUUCAGUCCCUGGAAUUCAACGCUUAAAAAUACUUGGUUUCUUUGAUUGGAAAACGGUAUUUGGAAAACGAAAUCAGACUAUGAGGUUAGCAUCACGUCUCUGUGUCACUUUCCUGUGGUGCCAAUUUCAAGCAGGAGAAAGGCCGUGCCUUCGACAGUCCCCAGGUCAGACGCCGUCCACUACUCGGGCAGACAGAGCACGCUCAUCUCCUCAGGGCCUGGACGUGUGUGGAGCCGGAAACCCAGCGAGGAAGGUAUUCGGGGCUCCCACCUUCAAGGCCCACGUCCCCCGUCUAGGGGCGAGUUUUGGCUGCUGGGUCUACCUACUCUACUUUCACUGCACGGCAGUACCUGGAAAGGAAAGGAAGCACAUGCCAAGAGGUCAUGUUAUCACUGGGGAAGAAAACUGUUAGCCGAAACUGGAUGUCUGGGGGUCCUUUUAUCCACGAGGGUCAUUGAGUAAACCUAACGCCUGUCUCUUCAUAUCACAGGGAAAUGAGGGUUGAUUGUAUAGUUAUUCAUCUGGAACCAACCUCAUCCCUCCCUUCAUCCUUCCUUCCUUCAUCCUUCCUUCCAUCCUUCCUCCCUCCCUUCUCCAUAUUUGAUGCGCAACCUGGUGUUCGAAUAGCAACAGCUUCUGGAAUCUCCCCAGGACUCUGAUACCUGUGAGGUUAUCAGUUUCUUAUGCUGUCUCUACUGAUUUGCAGUAGCCAACAAGUAACAGGUUUCUCAAAAUACGUCUUAAAGUGUGCUGAUAAAUGACACAUAUUGAAAAAAAAAUAAUUGCAGAAGGACCAUGGAAGUGUACAGAUAAGUUCUGGUGAUCACAGGCAAGGCAGCAAUUAAUUGUACCAGAGGGGCUUAGCAAAAACACAGAGGGAGUUCCUGCUGUGGAGCAGUGGGUUAAGGAUCCAGCAUUGACGCAGCUGUGUGCAGACUGAAACUGGCCCAGGAGCUUCCAUAUGUACCAC